rnacentral:rRNA from 1 species
CACUCCUGCGGGAGGCAGCAGUGGGGAAUUUUGGACAAUGGGCGAAAGCCUGAUCCAGCAAUGCCGCGUGAGUGAAGAAGGCCUUCGGGUUGUAAAGCUCUUUUGUCAGGGAAGAAACGGUGAGAGCUAAUAUCUCUUGCUAAUGACGGUACCUGAAGAAUAAGCACCGGCUAACUACGUGCCAGCAGCCGCGGUAAUACGUAGGGUGCAAGCGUGAAUCGGAAUUACUGGGCGUAAAGCGUGCGCAGGCGGUUUUGUAAGUCUGAUGUGAAAUCCCCGGGCUCAACCUGGGAAUUGCAUUGGAGACUGCAAGGCUAGAAUCUGGCAGAGGGGGGUAGAAUUCCACGUGUAGCAGUGAAAUGCGUAGAUAUGUGGAGGAACACCGAUGGCGAAGGCAGCCCCCUGGGUCAAGAUUGACGCUCAUGCACGAAAGCGUGGGGAGCAAACAGGAUUAGAAACCCCGGUAGUCCC